rnacentral:rRNA from 1 species
UACGUAGGGUGCAAGCGUUGUCCGGAAUUAUUGGGCGUAAAGAGCUCGUAGGCGGUUUGUCGCGUCUGCUGUGAAAACGCGAGGCUCAACCUCGCGCCUGCAGUGGGUACGGGCAGACUAGAGUGUGGUAGGGGAGACUGGAAUUCCUGGUGUAGCGGUGAAAUGCGCAGAUAUCAGGAGGAACACCGAUGGCGAAGGCAGGUCUCUGGGCCAUAACUGACGCUGAGAAGCGAAAGCAUGGGGGAGCGAACAGG